rnacentral:rRNA from 1 species
UACGAGGGGUGCAAGCGUUGCUCGGAAUUAUUGGGCGUAAAGGGCAGGUAGGUGGUCUCGUUUGUGUGGGGUGAAAGCCUUGGGCUCAACUCAAGGAGUGCCCCGCAAACGGCGAGACUAGAGGACUGGAGAGGCUAGCGGAAUACCCGGUGUAGCGGUGAAAUGCGUAGAGAUCGGGUGGAACACCAGAGGCGAAGGCGGCUAGCUGGACAGUUACUGACACUCAACUGCGAAAGCGUGGGGAGCAAACAGG